rnacentral:rRNA from 1 species
AACGAACGCUGGCGGCAUGCCUAACACAUGCAAGUCGAACGAGAUCUUCGGGUCUAGUGGCGCACGGGUGCGUAACGCGUGGGAAUCUGCCCUUUGGUUCGGAAUAACAGUUGGAAACGACUGCUAAUACCGGAUGAUGACGAAAGUCCAAAGACUUAUCGCCAGAGGAUGAGCCCGCGUAGGAUUAGCUAGUUGGUGUGGUAAAGGCGCACCAAGGCGACGAUCCUUAGCUGGUCUGAGAGGAUGAUCAGCCACACUGGGACUGAGACACGGCCCAGACUCCUACGGGAGGCAGCAGUGGGGAAUAUUGGACAAUGGGCGAAAGCCUGAUCCAGCAAUGCCGCGUGAGUGAUGAAGGCCUUAGGGUUGUAAAGCUCUUUUACCCGGGAUGAUAAUGACAGUACUGGGAGAAUAAGCUCCGGCUAACUCCGUGCCAGCCGCCGCAGUAA